AAAUGUCGCGCUCGGCCGUUCUGGGAACUAGGGCAAACUAUUUUACCCUCCCUACCCAAGAGAGCAAACAUCGCGCUCUGCCGAAAUUGACCAAAACAUCCGUUGGGCGGGAAAACCCCACCAGCUGAUUGAUACCUGAGCUUGUCUGUUAUCAAAAAAUGUCUAAACUUAAUCCUCUUGGCGGCCUUAAACGAUCUAAUGAAAACAAUGAAAGGUUAAGCGCUACUUCCAAAAAGGCUGAAGUCGUGAAGGAAUUUACUGGAGCGAAAACAUGGGUCAUGCUAAAUUAUGAGAAGAGCAAAAAGAGCUUUGCACAAUUAAACGAUAUUAUUGACCACUAUACA